UCCAAUUAAACAAGGCUUCUUGGAAGUACCACCCCCCCCUCAAGUCCAAAAAUAGUUUAUACCCCUAAAACCCAGUAGGUACAAUAUAUAUAUAGGCCAAUUUGACCCCCCCCCCCUCUCCAAUUAAACAAGGCUUCUUGGAAGUACCACCCCCCCCCCCUCAAGCCCAAAAAUAGUUUAUACCCCUAAAACCCAGUAGGUACAAUACAGUAUAGGCCAAUUUCAUCCUCUCUCUAAUCAAAUGUAGGGUUCUUGGAAGUACCCCCCCCAGCCAAAAAAAUAGUUUAUACCCCUAAAACCCAGUAGGUACAAUACGGCAAUAUAUAUAGGCCAAUUUCAUCCCCUCUUCAAUUGAAUGUAGGGUUCUUGGAAGUACCCC